CCUACGGGUGGCUGCAGUGGGGAAUAUUGCACAAUGGGGGAAACCCUGAUGCAGCGACGCCGCGUGAGUGAAGAAGUAUCUCGGUAUGUAAAGCUCUAUCAGCAGGGAAGAAAAUGAGGGUACCUGUGUAAGAAGCGCCGCCUAACUACGUGCCAGCAGCCGCGGUAAUACGUAGGGGGCAAGCGUUAUCCGGAUUUACUGGGUGUAAAGGGAGCGUAGACGGCAGCACAAGUCUGGAGUGAAAUGCCGGGGCUUAACCCCGGAACUGCUUUGGAAACUGUGCAUCUAGAGUGCAGGAGAGGGAAGCGGAAUGCCUAGUGUAGCGGUGAAAUGCGUAGAUAUUAGGAGGAACACCAGUGGCGAAGGCGGCUUACUGGACUGUAACUGACGUUGAGGCUCGAAAGCGUGGGGAGCAAACAGGAUUAGAUACCCGUGUAGUC
rnacentral:rRNA from 1 species